rnacentral:rRNA from 1 species
UACGUAGGGUGCGAGCGUUAAUCGGAAUUACUGGGCGUAAAGCGUGCGCAGGCGGCUAUUUAAGCUUGCUGUGAAAGCCCCGGGCUUAACCUGGGAACUGCAGUGAGGACUGGAUGGCUGGAGUGUGGCAGAGGGGGGUGGAAUUCCACGUGUAGCAGUGAAAUGCGUAGAGAUGUGGAGGAACACCGAUGGCGAAGGCAGCCCCCUGGGCUAACACUGACGCUCAGGCACGAAAGCGUGGGGAGCAAACAGG